ensembl:lncRNA
CGCAGAUUUGUCAUGUGACAUCAUCACAACACGCAUUCAGUCAAAGCCCCUUCGUUUCACGUGCGUUGAACAUGAGUACAGCAUAAAGGUCUCAUGUACCAACAAACAUCACUGCAAAAGACCACGCAAAACAUUUUCAUGCAAUUGCCAUUUCGCCAAUUCAAGUAGUUUUCCGUAAAAUAACAAAAAAAAACUCUGCAAAUUGUAUCGCAGUUUUUUUUAAAGUCACAGCAAAAUCAAGUAAUUUUAGUCGCAACAAUUACAAAUAAAAACUCCACAAAAUCCUGUCUGACCACUUGCUUUCAGCCACAUGAAAGUAAAAACCUCCCAUUCGAGCAUGUCUUUUAAGUUUUUUGUUGUCUGUGGGAUCCCAGCCCUUAUACACCUGUAGUCUGAACUACAGUCCUUGUGAACUAUAAUAUACACUUUACUUCUAUGAAAUCCCUGUAUUGUAUUUAGUAUUGUAUCAAUAUUACACUGCCCAUUCCUGCCCAAUACACUGUUUAUCUUUUACUGUUUGCAUUUUACUAGUGUCUCCAUGGUACUGUGUGCACUGUAUUGUUCUGUGUUUCUUGCUGUGAGUAAGCCUUUCGUUAUGCUAUAUCAUCAUGGCAUCCUGACAACAAUAAACAAUAAAGAUUUUGUAACUGCUGUGAUGUGGAAAAGGAAUGAGACGUCAUGCUAAGUAAAGACUAAAACAUAUAGGAUGCACUGUUAUAGGAAAAUAAUCAGUGACAGGAUGAUGUAAAGGGCAACUUAGUGAUGCAGAGUGUCGCACUGCAGCCUUGCAACUCCGAGGUCCUAAGAUUACAUUACUGACUGUGUGGUGUUACUGUGCAUGCUUUCCUGCUGUCUGUGUGGGUUUUCUCCUGGUUCUCUGGUUUCCUCCGACCUCCCAGAAACAUGUUGGAUAGGUUCUGAGUCCACUGUGAUCCUGAACAGGAUUAAACGCUGGAUGAAUGAAAAAAGGGUGGUGUGAAUAUAUAUUUUUAUAUCUAUCCAUCCAU